rnacentral:rRNA from 1 species
UACGUAGGGUGCAAGCGUUAAUCGGAAUUACUGGGCGUAAAGGGUGCGUAGGCGGUUGCUUAAGUCUGUUGUGAAAUCCCCGGGCUCAACCUGGGAAUGGCAAUGGAUACUGGGCAGCUAGAGUGUGUCAGAGGAUGGUGGAAUUCCCAGUGUAGAGGUGAAAUUCGUAGAUAUUGGGAAGAACACCGGUGGCGAAGGCGGCUCACUGGCCCGAAACUGACGCUCAUGCACGACAGCGUGGGGAUCAAACAGG